GACGAACGCUGGCGGCGUGCUUAACACAUGCAAGUCGAACGGAAAGGCCCUGCUUUCAGGGUACUCGCGUGGCGAACGGGUGAGUAACACGUGGGUGAUCUGCCCUGCACUUCGGGAUAAGCCUGGGCAACUGGGUCUAAUACCGGAUAGGUGCCAUUUUUAGUGUGAUGGUUGGAAAGUUUUUUCGGUGUAGGAUGAGCUCGCGGCCUAUCAGCUUGUUGUUGGGGUAAUGGCCUACCAAGGCGGCGACGGGUAGCCGGCCUGAGAGGGUGGACGGCCACAUUGGGACUGAGAUACGGCCCAGACUCCUACGGGAGGCAGCAGUGGGGAAGAUUGCACAAUGGGCGCAAGCCUGAUGAAGAGACGCCGCGUGGGGGAUGACGGCCUUCGGGUUGUAAACUACUUGCGCUAGGGACGAAGCUUUUUGUGACGGUACCUAGAUAAGAAGCACCGGCUAACUACGUG
rnacentral:rRNA from 1 species